rnacentral:rRNA from 1 species
UCCUACGGGAGGCAGCAGUGGGGAAUAUUGCACAAUGGGCGAAAGCCUGAUGCAGCGACGCCGCGUGAGGGAUGACGGCCUUCGGGUUGUAAACCUCUUUCGACAGGGACGAAGCGCAAGUGACGGUACCUGUAGAAGAAGCACCGGCCAACUACGUGCCAGCAGCCGCGGUAAUACGUAGGGUGCGAGCGUUGUCCGGAAUUACUGGGCGUAAAGAGCUUGUAGGCGGCUUGUCGCGUCGAUCGUGAAAACUUGGGGCUCAACCCCAAGCUUGCGGUCGAUACGGGCAGGCUUGAGUACUUCAGGGGAGACUGGAAUUCCUGGUGUAGCGGUGAAAUGCGCAGAUAUCAGGAGGAACACCGGUGGCGAAGGCGGGUCUCUGGGAAGUAACUGACGCUGAGAAGCGAAAGCGUGGGUAGCGAACAGGAUUAGAUACCCUGGUAGUCCACGCCGUAAACGGUGGGUACUAGGUGUGGGGUCGUUGGCACCCCCCCC